rnacentral:tRNA from 1 species
GGCUAUAUAGCUCAUCGGUAGAGUGCAUGCCUAGCGUGCAUGAGGUUCUGAGUUCAAUCCCCAGUACCUCCA